AGAAUAUGUGGGCAAAAUGCAACUCAGAAACAAAAUGACAGACAGGUUUGCAAGAUACUGGGAAGUGAAGUUAAAAAGACUCCUGAACUCCAAAGAAUAUUGGUGACUGUUACAAAAAUGAGAAAUUCUGGAUCUCUGAGAAAACAAAGGAUUCCAUUACAUCAAGUAA